UUAAUUCUAUUGAGUAAUUCUAUAUUGUUAUAGAACUUAUAAUGUUAAAACUAGUAACAAGAAGAAGGCCUUCUCUAAAAUGCAAGCAUAAAUCAGCAAGGACCCACCACUGAUGAUUAACACACAUGAAAUUACAUUAGUAACCCCUCAAGAAAACCCUAAUAAAUUUUAUGUUAGCCUAACACAAGAGCAUUAAAAGAAAGAUUAAAAAAAAAAGAAGGAACUCGGCAAACAAUGACCCCGCCUGUUUACCAAAAACAUCGCCUCUUGAAUAACUAUAAGAGGUCCAGCCUGCCCAGUGAUUUAUUUAACGGCCGCGGUAUCUUAACCGCGCGAAGGUAGCAUAAUCAAUUGUUCUUUAAAUGGGGACUUGUAUGAAUGGCACCACGAAGGUUGUACUGUCUCCUUUUUUUAAUCAGUGAAACUAAUCCCCCCGUGAAGAAGCGGGAAUAAAAAUAUAAGACGAGAAGACCCUAUGGAGCUUCAAACUAAAUAACAAAUAUUAUCCCUUUAGAUCUUUCAGAAUAAAGACCUUUAUUUUUAUAUUAUGCUUAAUAGUUUUAGGUUGGGGUGACCGCGGAGUAUAGCCCAACCUCCGCACUGAAAGAACUUACUUCUGAACUAAGAACUACAACUCUAAGUACCAAUAGAUUGACACCACUUGACCCAAUAUUUUGAUCAACGAACCAAGUUACCCUAGGGAUAACAGCGCAAUCCACUUCAAGAGGCCCUAUCAAAAAGUGGGCUUACGACCUCGAUGUUGGAUCAGGGUAUCC
rnacentral:rRNA from 1 species